rnacentral:sRNA from 1 species
GACGGCUUCGGGAGAGCGACCCGACGGUUGGCAGAAUUCCUGUCUACUGCGUGAGCGAUCGCGGGAAACAUUAUUUUGCGACAAACAAUCAGUAGAAAUCUGGUGGGUUUGCCAAAGAUUUCCGCAAGGCAGCGAACGUAGUUAUGCAGUAAUCGCAUCGCUCGGGACGAACAUUGUUCUUCUCGCGAUUCCUGUAGCUCCC